UACGUAGGGGGCAAGCGUUGUCCGGAAUCAUUGGGCGUAAAGCGCACGUAGGCGGCUCUUUAAGUCAGGGGUGAAAUCCUGGAGCUCAACUCCAGAACUGCCUUUGAUACUGAGGGGCUUGAGUCCGGGAGAGGUGAGUGGAACUGCGAGUGUAGAGGUGAAAUUCGUAGAUAUUCGCAAGAACACCAGUGGCGAAGGCGGCUCACUGGCCCGGUACUGACGCUGAGGUGCGAAAGCGUGGGGAGCAAACAGG
rnacentral:rRNA from 1 species